UACGUAGGGUCCGAGCGUUGUCCGGAGUUACUGGGCGUAAAGCGCGCGCAGGCGGCCUGCCAAGUCCGGCGUGAAAGCCCCCGGCUCAACCGGGGAGGGUCGUUGGAGACUGGUGGGCUUGAGGGCGGGAGGGGCCGGUGGAAUGCCCGGUGUAGUGGUGAAAUGCGUAGAGAUCGGGCGGAACACCUGUGGCGAAGGCGGCCGGCUGGGCCGACCCUGACGCUGAGGCGCGAAGGCGUGGGGAGCGAACGGG
rnacentral:rRNA from 1 species